CACGUAGGGGGCAAGCGUUGUCCGGAAUUAUUGGGCGUAAAGAGCGUGUAGGCGGCCCGGUAAGUCCGCUGUGAAAGUCGGGGGCUCAACCCUCGGAUGCCGGUGGAUACUGUCGGGCUCGAGUACGGAAGAGGCGAGUGGAAUUCCUGGUGUAGCGGUGAAAUGCGCAGAUAUCAGGAGGAACACCUAUUGCGAAGGCAGCUCGCUGGGACGUUACUGACGCUGAGACGCGAAAGCGUGGGGAGCAAACAGG
rnacentral:rRNA from 1 species